ACGAACGCUGGCGGCGUGCUUAACACAUGCAAGUCGAACGGAAAGGCCCUGCUUUUGUGGGGUGCUCGAGUGGCGAACGGGUGAGUAACACGUGAGUAACCUGCCCUUGACUUUGGGAUAACUUCAGGAAACUGGGGCUAAUACCGGAUAGGAGCUCCUGCUGCAUGGUGGGGGUUGGAAAGUUUCGGCGGUUGGGGAUGGACUCGCGGCUUAUCAGCUUGUUGGUGGGGUAGUGGCUUACCAAGGCUUUGACGGGUAGCCGGCCUGAGAGGGUGACCGGCCACAUUGGGACUGAGAUACGGCCCAGACUCCUACGGGAGGCAGCAGUGGGGAAUAUUGCACAAUGGGCGGAAGCCUGAUGCAGCAACGCCGCGUGCGGGAUGACGGCCUUCGGGUUGUAAACCGCUUUCGCCUGUGACGAAGCGUGGGUGACGGUAAUGGGUAAAGAAGCACCGGCUAACUACGUG
rnacentral:rRNA from 1 species